ensembl:lncRNA
GGGGAGGAGACUGGAACUCCAAGAGAGAGAGAGAGGCAGCCGAGAGAACACGGAGGCAGGUGUUAAGAUUCCUCUCUGCACAUUUAUAGGUUGUUAUGAAUACUUUUAAGGGAUGGAUGUGUACAGGGCUCUGUAUGUCCAGCUGCUGCCUACAGAGGAGGAAGCCAUUCCCAAUAACCUUCGAGGCCGUGAAUUAGACACCUGACCGACAUUCCUCAGAGACAGAAACAGUUCCGCAAGCCAGGGUGCACACCCAGAGGCUAAUGAAAAUAGUACGAAUAACUGACUGCCUAGCUUCGACAUUACCAGCAAAAGCUCACCUGUCUUAAAGCUGCACUCUCUUAAAUCAGCUCCUGCGUCGUCGGAACCCCUUGCCGCCUCUGGUCAUCUGUAGAGCUUUUGUUCUGAUGAGCGCAGUUGUAACCUGCUCGCAACUCGUUCCGUUUACCGUCAGGUCAGCUUGUGUGGACCAUCAUGCCAAACCCACUGAGUAUCUCUCCACUUUGUGUGAGUGAAUUUGUUGUUUUGUACACUUUAUUUUGUCCUCCAAAUAAACCAACCAGUGAGACCAUUUUGCUGGAACAUUAAGCUCCUGUCACGAGUAGAGUAAAUUUACAUAUAUCUACUGCCCUCCCCCCUUCAAUUCUGCUCAGUAUUGAAGAGAGCUGAGGCACCUCUAGCCCAGUUCAUCGGCAAAGGUGAGAAGAAUCCUCCAGGAGAACUCUGAAUAGUAACACCCAUAUAACUCAGCCUUCUCUCAUCCCCUCAUCCUACCGGGUUCUAAACAAAAGAAACUUUCAUUUUUAUUUUAAAAAAAAGUAUUUUUAAAGUUUGCUUACAGGGGGUUGGAGAGAUGGCUCAAUGGUCACAUGCAGAACACUGACUGCUCUUCCAGACGUCCUGAGUUCAAUUCCCAGCACCCACAUGGUGCCUCACAAGCAUCCAUAAUGGGAUCCGAUGCCCUCUUCUGGUGUGUCUGAAGACUGCGACGGUGUACUCACAUACAUUAAAAAACGCCUACAGGCUGGUGAUAUUUCUUAGUGGGUAGAGGCACCUGCCACCAGUUCUUGGCAUCCACCUGGUAUGAAGAAAUAACUGAUUCCCUCAAACUGAUUUGAGCACUGCCAUGAGCUCCCCCAAAAGUCAAUAAAUGAAUGAGUA